rnacentral:miRNA from 1 species
GAGAUGGAAUAUAACUCAGUGGUAAGAAUGCUUGCCUAGUAUCUGCAAGGCCCUAAUUUCCAUCUCUAGCACUGGAAAAAUGGAUGCAAAGAUAUUU